rnacentral:rRNA from 1 species
CGAGGAAUAUUGGUCAAUGGGCGAGAGCCUGAACCAGCCAAAUCGCGUGAAGGAAGACUGCCUUAUGGGUUGUAAACUUCUUUUAUACAGGAAUAAAAAAGGGGACGUGUCCCUUAUUGCAUGUACUGUAUGAAUAAGCAUCGGCUAACUCCGUGCCAGCAGCCGCGGUAAUACGGAGGAUGCGAGCGUUAUCCGGAUUUAUUGGGUUUAAAGGGUGCGCAGGCGGGCUUUUAAGUCAGCGGUGAAAUCUCGGGGCUUAACUCCGAAACUGCCGUUGAAACUGGGAGUCUUGAGUAUGGAUGAAGUAGGCGGAAUUCGUUGUGUAGCGGUGACAUGCUUAGAUAUAACGAGGAACUCCGAUUGCGUAGGCAGCUUACUAAGCCAUAACUGACGCUCAAGCACGAAAGCGUGGGGAUCAAACAGGAUUAGAUACCCUGGUAGUCCACGCCGUAAACGAUGAUUACUAGUUGUAUGCGAUAUACCGUAUGUGACUAAGCGAAAGCGAUAAGUAAUCCACCUGGGGAGUACGCCGGCAACGGUGAAACUCAAAGGAAUUGACGGGGUCAUAGCUGUUUCCUG